rnacentral:rRNA from 1 species
AUGGAAGAAAGUUUGACCAUUUUUUCACUGAACUACUCGAACAUUUUGUUCGAAAAAGCAAAAAUAGCUCAGUUCGAGAGAGGUUUGAGCUUCAUCGGGCUUAUUGCUAUCGAUUCGAUGAUCCCUAUAGGGUGCGGUCAGCGAGAGUUCAUUAUUGGGGACAGACAGACUUGCAAAACAGAAGUAGCCAUAGAUACAAUUCUCAAUCAAAAAGGGCAAGGUGUAAUAUGUGUUUAUGUAGCUAUCGGUCAAAGAGCAUCCUCCGUAGCUCAAGUAGUAACUACUUUCCAUGAGGAGGGGGCCAUGUAA